AUGACCUUAUCAUGUUAAAACGCCGGCUCCCGUUCGAUCACCGAAGUUAAGCAACGUCGAGCCCGGUCAAUACCUGGAUGGGAAUACCACGUGCUGUAAG